GAGUGCAUACAGUUUUUAUGGCAUAGCUCAGGACUUCAUUUACACUUUCAAGUCUUAUUUCUGCUUCAUAAAUAUGCUUUUGUUGCUAUAUCUUCAAAGGUGACAUUACCCGUAAAAACUUUGGGGGAGGAGGACACACAGUGUGAUUUAUCCAGGGACGGCCACCCCUUUAGGAAUGCCACUCUGUGGUGGUCCUUGCCUGAUAAAUUUUUCUCUUCGUCCUCCCGGU